GACGAACGCUGGCGGCACGCUUAACACAUGCAAGUCGAACGAACUCUUCGGAGUGAGUGGCAGACGGGUGCGUAACACGUGGGAACCUACCCUAAGGUACGGAAUAACGUCGAGAAAUUGACGCUAAUACCGUAUAUGUCUUCGGAUGAAAGAUUUAUCGCCUUAGGAUGGGCCCGCGGUUGAUUAGGUAGUUGGUGGGGUAAUGGCCUACCAAGCCGACGAUCAAUAGCUGGUCUGAGAGGAUGAUCAGCCACACUGGAACUGAGACACGGUCCAGACUCCUACGGGAGGCAGCAGUGAGGAAUAUUGGACAAUGGGGGCAACCCUGAUCCAGCGAUGCCGCGUGAGUGAUGAAGGCCUUAGGGUUGUAAAACUCUUUCACCGGCGAAGAUAAUGACGGUAACCGGAGAAGAAGCCCCGGCUAAUUUCG
rnacentral:rRNA from 1 species